CCUACGGGGGGCAGCAGUGGGGAAUAUUGCACAAUGGGGGGAACCCUGAUGCAGCGACGCCGCGUGAGUGAAGAAGUAUUUCGGUAUGUAAAGCUCUAUCAGCAGGGAAGAAGAUGACGGUACCUGACUAAGAAGCCCCGGCUAACUACGUGCCAGCAGCCGCGGUAAUACGUAGGGGGCAAGCGUUAUCCGGAUUUACUGGGUGUAAAGGGAGCGUAGACGGCAGGGCAAGUCUGGAGUGAAAGCCCGGGGCCCAACCCCGGGACGGCUUUGGAAACUGCCAUGCUGGAGUGCUGGAGAGGUAAGCGGAAUUCCUAGUGUAGCGGUGAAAUGCAUAGAUAUCACGCAGAACUCCGAUUGCGAAGGCAGCAUACCGGCGCUCAACUGACGCUCAUGCACGAAAGUGUGGGUAUCGAACAGGAUUAGAUACCCGAGUAGUC
rnacentral:rRNA from 1 species